rnacentral:rRNA from 1 species
GACGAACGCUGGCGGCGUGCCUAAUACAUGCAAGUUGAGCGCUGAAGGGUGGUGCUUGUACCAACUGGAUGAGCAGCGAACGGGUGAGUAACGCGUGGGUAAUCUGCCUUUGAGCGGGGGACAACAUUUGGAAACGAAUGCUAAUACCGCAUAAAAACUUUAAACACAAGUUUUAAGUUUGAAAGAUGCAAUUGCAUCACUCAAAGAUGAGCUCGCGUUGUAUUAGCUAGUUGGGGAGGUAAAGGCUUACCAAGGCGAUGAUACAUAGCCGACCUGAGAGGGUGAUCCGCCACAUCGGGACUGGGACACGGCCCCAACUCCUAAGGGAGGCAGCCGUAGGGAAUCUUCGGCCAUGGACGAAAGUCUGACCGAGCAACGCCGCGUGAGUGAAGAAGGUUUUCCGAUCGUAAAACUCUGUUGGUAGAGAAGAACGUUGGUGAGAGUGGAAAGCUCACAAAGUGACGGUACCUACCCAGAAAGGCACGGCUAACUACGUG